rnacentral:lncRNA from 1 species
CGAACUUGAAAACUGAAUGCGCUCACUUUGAAAUUUAGAGACUUUCUGGCGCUACAAAAAUGAGACCUCUUGGUUUCUGCUUUAUUCUGGUUAUCAUGUGCGGCCUUUUAGAUCUUGCUGCUGCCCUCCAACUUGGCGAAAAGAGAGUGGCAAGGAGGGAUAGCAAUGCGGGUGCUGAUAACCCUUCGACUUGUCCGGACGAGAACUUCAACGUGGAGACUCUGGAAUGCAAAGACGCGCCACCAGCAUCGGAGCGUCAAGUCUUAAACCCAUCAGGACCUCCGCCACGCAUCGAUUGGGGACCAGGGAGCAAGAGAAAGAAUGGAGGGGAUGGCAAGAAAAGGAAACGACACGGAAAAAAUAAGAGAAAUUAAAUAUUAUUUGUAUAAUAAAGCAACCGCUAAGAAGAAUUAACGGGCUUGGAGGACUAGGCGCAUAAGUGCAGUUUUUGAAAAAAUUGAGAUACUCAUGAACUCGACCAAAACUUGUUUGAAAGUUUAUUGUGGAAAAUUCACGAGUAAAAUCCAACUUUAAAAAAUCAAAAAGUGAGUUUAAACUUCCUUUUCGCCAUAAGACUCCAUGUAGUUUUGAAACUUUAAACACGUCUUUCUAGAAAUAGCAAAAACAGCACUUGCACUUUGUCCUCCAAACUCCUCAAUUAUAGUCGCAUAUUAUAUGUAGCAGCUAUAUAGGCUAUGUAGUCAGCUAUAUAUUAGACAGUAUAGUUAUAGCAUUUACUGCCCUUCGUUAAACAGGUCCUCUCCUUAGGGGACGCCAUUUUUUAAAUUAUGAUUACGGAAGGUUCAAGGAGAUAUUUAACACAUCACCUUAAAAAGGACACUUUUUGCACCCUCGAUUAAAAUUCAGAGGCGGGACUAUAGGUCGUUACUUAAGUGCCGAAAUUGAAGGUGAAUUUUAACUGGACGAUAUCUGCCGACGUACCGUCUAUUAUUUCUAUCGAAUAUUGUGGAACUAGAUAAGUUUGUUUUCCAGUUGAUUUUUUUCCAUCUUCGACGCUCUCCGUGUGUUGCUUAUGCCAAGUAUUAUCCCCGACUUUUUAAUGUUGAAUGUAUGGUUCAUACUAAAUUCGGAGAGUAACUUUAUGCCAAUGUUUUGUUACAAUAAAAUAAUUUUACACAAGUUGUAAGUUUGUUUCGAUACUUGACAAUUGGAGGUUAGAGCAUUGAUAACACAUGAGCAAUUUGUAAUGUGCAAGUCGUAUUUAUCCCUGUAGACAGUAGCAUAGGAUCAUGUACUUGUGUUUGAGUCGUGCCGGAUUAUCGUUUUAUUUAUUUUUAUCAUAAUAAUGACCAUUUUUUAACUAGACGACCUAAUUCCUGGUUUCAAGACAGUGUUUGAGCCUUCGCCAUAAAAAGUGUGUGGAUGUAAAAGUUUUUUUUUUUUUUUUUUUUUUUUUUUUUUUUUUAAAAUUCCUUCAUUCCCAGGAUAUAACCUGGUAUCAACAACAAAAAUCCAACGAGACGACUCUCAAAUUUAAUGGAGAUAAAGAGUUUUGCCAAAGAGGCUGUCCCAUUUUCCAUAGGAAAUAGGACAGUCUCUUUGUGUCAAAAGCUUGAUGAACCAUGAUAAAAACGAACUAAAACUCACACCAACAUUUAUUAUAAUAGGUUAUAAUUAUUGUCGCUAUUAGGAAAGAUAAAGACAAAGAAAUAUCAAUUAAAGAAUGAAAAAAGUAAAAAUAGAAGAAAAAUGCAAAUAUUCUCUUAAAAACAAAAUAAAAUACCUACAGACCCAUUCAAGCUUUGUUACUUUCUUAAAAAAGUAGAUAUGUAAAAUGUGAUAUCGAAUCAUUAAAAGUGCAAUACUGUCUCCUACAUAUACAUAUGCACGAUGUAUCUACUGAUCAAUAACAAAUGAGAAUGCUUCGUAAAGAAAAAUUAAAUAAUCCAGAUAGAUCGCACUAUCGUAAAUUAUUUGAAAAGUAUAAAACAUCGAAUUGGACGAAGUCCAUUAUUCUUCUAAUGAGAUUAGAAAUGAGUUAUUCAAUUAGCACAUCCACGUCAAUGCUGUAAAAUUGAAGGAGAAUGAUUUGCUAAAUUUAUUCAAGUUGCAGAUUCUCAUAAAUCAUCUGUAUUAUCCUGAAAUGAAAAAUGUAUCUAAAUUUCUUCGCGUCAGGGUGUUUUAUCCGUGUUGUUAAGCAUGCGCAGGCAGCUUUGACAUUUUUAAAAGGAGCCUCUUGAUACAUUUAAAAUAUAAAAUUUUCCUCUUGCAUUUGCUUGGUUUUGAACUUAAUUUGUACGAAGGACGUUUUUAUCCUGGACGAAGGACUUGAAUUCAAACUUGAUUCAAACGAUUCAAUAUUUUACAAGAAUAAGCUUGAAGAAUUUACGUCAAAUAAUAUUCUGAAUUUUGAACAAGAUCAGAAGAAAAAUCAGUGAAAUUUUCAGUCCAAAAUUCCUAAGUUUCUCUUGAUUCAAUAUGUGAUUUUGGAGCAUUGAAAUGUUGUUAGUUCUUACGUGAGGAAAAAGAUGAAUGGAGAGUUUGCAGGUGUCUGAGAAUUGAUGAAUUUCGUAUUUUAUAAGUGCGGAGAGAACUAAACACGAAGAUACCCUUGGUUCAUAAAUCAAACAAUUUGAUAUUGGAGGAGUUAUGACAAAAUGAUUUGAUCCGCUGAAAUACAUGUGUUUAAAUGGGAAAUACCGCCAGAUGACGUCACCAUUUCAUUUUCUCACUUUCAAAUCUAUAUUUGGACGUUCAUCUGCUAAGGAACCAGGUACGGGUGGGGGAAAAAGGAGUGUGCUUGUUAGUUCUUGCGCCGUGAGAUUGCAUAGGAGUUAUAAAGCGCCAGUGGCGUCAGCGGCGACGAAAGGACCGCCCGGUUCGGUGACUGGGCUCCUUAACUCAUUAACUCUCCACAACGCUGUCGGAAUAAGCCCCCGGUUCAUAAAAGCCGCAUAUUUUGGCGCUUGGAUCCGAUGGAUUUAAUGUAAAAUCCCACUUUUACCAUUUCCACAAAAGGAACCACGCCCACUUUUACAUUGAUUCUUAAGCAGCUUUUCACAGCACACCACUUAUUUCCCAACCGUCUCCUCUCUAGUUCCUUUUAGCAGAAAUACAUCCAAUCCCCUUCCUCCUCCUAUCUCCUAUCCCCUCCUAUCCCUCCUAUCCCCCCAUCUCCCCUAUCCCUUCUUAUCUCCUUAUCCUCCCCAUUCCCCUUCCUAUCUCCUCUAUCAGGAAUUAGCUCUGUAAGCACGCUCAGACGCAGCAAUAAAAACAUGUGCCUGCAAGUUCUCCAUUAGCUGUCUCAGAAAUACUCAAAUGGGUAUGUACAAUUUUAAAGAAUGAAUGCCUUUAAAGAGUUCCUUUACUUAUAUUUAUUCACUCAUUGAUGUAUGAAUCCGAUCGGGAGAAUGACCCUGAAGGUGAACCUGAAGGCGAUCUUGGCGAGGAUGAUGUCGAGGGAGAUCUUAAAUAGUUCUUCAGAGACUGGCCGAAGCUUAACUGCUGGAACCACGACUUUUUGCCUUUAGAUUUGUUUGACUGACCACGACCAUUCGAUCGCGGCGAGGACGCAGUGCGUUUUAAAUUACACGGCGUGUAACUCACUUUCAAAUCGUCGAUUAUCACAGCGGGCUUUGCUUCACGGUCGAAGCAGGCGAAGUAGUCUGUCUGGAACUCAAGCUGAAAGAUUUUAUAUAAGAUGUAAGCAGUGGCGUGGCAUGCUUAGCGAUAUAUCGUUGGAUCUGCAAUUUAAACCUAUGGUAAAGGAUCGAUAAACAAUGUGUUUGCAACGAACACCUUGAUAAUCGAUUCUUUACCAUUGCUUCAGAUGAGGAAAUAUCGAUAAUCGAUUAUUCACGCCUCGUUGCCGGAUCCAUAAGUUACCUACCUACAGUGUGCAUACGUAUGAAGCAACGAUCGGAGAAAAGAUAAACCAAAGUAGCUUCCAAAGACAUAAAGACGGAGUGCUCGUAUCUAAAAGCACGGGGAAAAAGUGAAGCCUGGUUUGGCUCUGGGUGCUUGUGUGAGUGUGUAAAUGAGCGCGGGAAUCCAUGGCGGCAAACGGAAAUUUGAUUUGAACUUGUCCUCUUGAUUUUUCCACAUUUCUUCUUCUAAACGUAUUUUAAAUGCCUAAAACGAACACAUUAAGAUAGUUGGGACUACGACCUAGUAUAAUACACUUACUUUUUCUCCGUAACAGGCAGUAAUUUCAAAUAAAGUUAGUUUUUCUUCUGCGCAUGGUGAGGCCUGCCGGUUUAAACAGGCCGUUACAGUCCUAGAUGACAGUUACUCCCAAAUGAAAUUAAUCGGUCGACGACGGACCAAAACUAACCUAAAGUUACAAAAAUAUGAGUGGGUAAGUGAAUUUGCGCAAAAAUCAAUCUAGAAUACUUUCUUUUCGCAAUUUUAUUUAGUUCCCGCCCUACAUUUGAAUUUCAAACUUGUCCCGAUUUUGCCGCCAAUCCUCUAGCCAAUAGUAGAGGUGGUUGAAAAGAAGCUUCAUUUUUUGCUUUUAGCACUCCGUCUUUAUGUCUUUGGUAGCUUCUCUCGCUGUUUUUCUUACUUUCUUUUUUUAUUUCUUUCUUUAUCUUACUGCAUUUUCACUGAUACCUACUGAUGUAACCUUGAUUUCCAUGUAAACACACAGAGGUGUAAAUGGCCUUAGAUGCUAAAGCACCGCUUUAAAAUAAACUUAUCUUACUACUACUACUUUCUUUCUUUUUUUUUUUGGAGACCAUGAGAAAAAUUGGAAAAACUGAAAAAUCGGCGAAUCUAUAGCAUUGACUAUCAUGUUUCUUAAAUUUGCUUCAGAGCUAUUUUGUAACAUGGAGUGUGGGUAGAACUAAUUACUUUACUUUUUCCAAAGUCUACAGAAUCUUCCGAUAAAACUCACAAUAUAGGUAUACAUU